AUUGAACGCUAGCGGGAUGCCUUACACAUGCAAGUCGAACGAGUGGCGAACGGGUGAGUAAUGUAUCGGAACGUGCCCAGUAGCGGGGGAUAACUACGCGAAACGUAGCUAAUACCGCAUACUAUUGGAGCGGCAGAUAGCGGCUUAGAUAGUUGGUGGGGAAACGGGUAACCAAGGCGACGAUCCGUAGCUGGUUUGAGAGGACGACCAGCCAAACUGGAGCUGCGACACGGCCCAGACUCCUACGUGAGGCAGCAGUGGGGAAUUUUGGACAAUGGGGGAAACCCUGAUCCAUCCAUCCCGCGUGUGCGAUGAAGGCCUUCGGGUUGUAAAGCACUUUUGGCAGGAAAGCGGUACCUGCAGAAUAAGCACCGGCUAACUACGUGCCAGCAGCCGCGGUAAUUC
rnacentral:rRNA from 1 species